GUAACACGUGGGCAAUCUGCCCUUCACUCUGGGACAAGCCCUGGAAACGGGGUCUAAUACCGGAUAUGAGCCUCCCAGGCAUCUGGGAGGCUGUAAAGCUCCGGCGGUGAAGGAUGAGCCCGCGGCCUAUCAGCUUGUUGGUGAGGUAAUGGCUCACCAAGGCGACGACGGGUAGCCGGCCUGAGAGGGCGACCGGCCACACUGGGACUGAGACACGGCCCAGACUCCUACGGGAGGCAGCAGUGGGGAAUAUUGCACAAUGGGCGAAAGCCUGAUGCAGCGACGCCGCGUGAGGGAUGACGGCCUUCGGGUUGUAAACCUCUUUCAGCAGGGAAGAAGCGAGAGUGACGGUACCUGCAGAAGAAGCGCCGGCUAACUACGUGCCAGCAGCCGCGGUAAUACGUAGGGCGCAAGCGUUGUCCGGAAUUAUUGGGCGUAAAGAGCUCGUAGGCGGCUUGUCACGUCGAUUGUGAAAGCUCG
rnacentral:rRNA from 1 species